ACUUAAAUUGAAGAGUUUGAUCAUGGCUCAGAUUGAACGCUGGCGGCAGGCCUAACACAUGCAAGUCGAGCGGUAGCACAGAGAGCUUGCUCUCGGGUGACGAGCGGCGGACGGGUGAGUAAUGUCUGGGAAACUGCCUGAUGGAGGGGGAUAACUACUGGAAACGGUAGCUAAUACCGCAUAAUGUCGCAAGACCAAAGUGGGGGACCUUCGGGCCUCAUGCCAUCAGAUGUGCCCAGAUGGGAUUAGCUAGUAGGUGGGGUAACGGCUCACCUAGGCGACGAUCCCUAGCUGGUCUGAGAGGAUGACCAGCCACACUGGAACUGAGACACGGUCCAGACUCCUACGGGAGGCAGCAGUGGGGAAUAUUGCACAAUGGGCGCAAGCCUGAUGCAGCCAUGCCGCGUGUGUGAAGAAGGCCUUCGGGUUGUAAAGCACUUUCAGCGGGGAGGAAGGCGGUGAGGUUAAUAACCUCAUCGAUUGACGUUACCCGCAGAAGAAGCACCGGCUAACUCCGUGCCAGCAGCCGCGGUAAUACGGAGGGUGCAAGCGUUAAUCGGAAUUACUGGGCGUAAAGCGCACGCAGGCGGUCUGUCAAGUCGGAUGUGAAAUCCCCGGGCUCAACCUGGGAACUGCAUUCGAAACUGGCAGGCUAGAGUCUUGUAGAGGGGGGUAGAAUUCCAGGUGUAGCGGUGAAAUGCGUAGAGAUCUGGAGGAAUACCGGUGGCGAAGGCGGCCCCCUGGACAAAGACUGACGCUCAGGUGCGAAAGCGUGGGGAGCAAACAGGAUUAGAUACCCUGGUAGUCCACGCCGUAAACGAUGUCGAUUUGGAGGUUGUGCCCUUGAGGCGUGGCUUCCGGAGCUAACGCGUUAAAUCGACCGCCUGGGGAGUACGGCCGCAAGGUUAAAACUCAAAUGAAUUGACGGGGGCCCGCACAAGCGGUGGAGCAUGUGGUUUAAUUCGAUGCAACGCGAAGAACCUUACCUGGUCUUGACAUCCACAGAAC
rnacentral:rRNA from 1 species